rnacentral:rRNA from 1 species
AGAGUUUGAUCAUGGCUCAGGAUGAACGCUAGCGGCAGGCCUAAUACAUGCAAGCCGAACGGCAAGACUUUCAGCAAUGGAAGUCCUAGAGUGGCGUAAGGGUGCGUAACACGUAUGCAAUCUGCCCUCAACAGGAGGAUAGCUCCCCGAAAGGGGAAUUAAUACUUCAUAGGAUGUAGGAGUGGCAUCACUACUACAUUAAACUACGGGGUUGAGGAUGAGCAUGCGCAUGAUUAGUUAGUUGGCGGGGUAACGGCCCACCAAGACGAUGAUCAUUAGGGGAACUGAGAGGUUGAUCCCCCACACUGGCACUGAGAUACGGGCCAGACUCCUACGGGAGGCAGCAGUAGGGAAUAUUGGACAAUGGGUGCGAGCCUGAUCCAGCCAUGCCGCGUGCAGGAAGAAAGCCUUCUGGGUUGUAAACUGCUUUUCUCUGGGGAUAAAAGAGCCUUGCGAGGCGAAUUGAAGGUACCAGAGGAAUAAGCCACGGCUAACUACGUGCCAGCAGCCGCGGUAAUACGUAGGUGGCAAGCGUUGUCCGGAUUUAUUGGGUUUAAAGGGUGCGUAGGCGGUGAUUUAAGUCAGUGGUGAAAUACGGCAGCUCAACUGUCGAGGUGCCAUUGAUACUGGGUCACUUGAGUACUGAUGAGGUAGGCGGAAUGGACGGUGUAGCGGUGAAAUACUUAGAGAUCGUCCAGAACACCGAUAGCGAAGGCAGCUUACUAAGGAGUAACUGACGCUGAGGCACGAAAGUGUGGGGAUCAAACAGGAUUAGAUACCCUAGUAGUCC